UGGGAGUGACAUUCUAGGGGAAGGAAGGGCUAGCCUCGGCUUUGGCCCUUGGCUAAUUCUCUUAUUUGAUCCCGGUACCAUCUUAGGGUGGGAAAGGAUGACUCUUGGCCUAUUUUCCUUUUGUCUUGAUGCUUUUCCUAGCCAUUUCCUUCGAAGCAAUUGUACUAAUCUUUUCUUGAUUAAAACAUAGGACGCGUGGC
rnacentral:lncRNA from 1 species